rnacentral:rRNA from 1 species
GACGAACGCUUGCGGCGUGCCUAAGAAAUGCAAGUCGAGCGGGGGAGCAAUCCCCAGCGGCGAACGGUCGCGUAACACGUAAGCAACCUGCCCGAAAGACCGGGACAACAGUUCGAAAGGACUGCUAAUACCGGAUGUGGUCGCGAGGAGACAUCUCUUUGCGAGUAAAGCGAGCAAUCGACUUUCGGAGGGGCUUGCGGCCUAUCAGCUAGAUGGCGGGGUAACGGCCCACCAUGGCGACGACGGGUAGCUGGUCUGAGAGGAUGGUCAGCCGGAC